UCCCGCCCUAGUUCUAACCCAUAAACGAUGCCAGCUAGCGAUCUGAGGACGUUUUUUUUGUAGACUCCUCAGGAAGCUUCCGGGAAACCAAAGCGUGUGGGUUCCGGGGGAAGUAUGGUUGCAAAGCUGAAACUUAAAGGAAUUGACGGAAGGGCACCACCAGGAGUGGAGCCUGCGGCUUAAUUUGACUCAACACGGGAAAUCUCACCAGGCCCGGACACUGGAAGGAUUGACAGAUUGAGAGCUCUUUCUCGAUUCGGUGGGUGGUGGUGCAUGGCCGUUCUUAGUUGGUGGAGUGAUUUGUCUGGUUAAUUCCGAUAACGAACGAGACUCUGUCCUGCUAAAUAGUGUCAGCCUCUCUUUUGGGCUGACAAUUCUUCUUAGAGGGACUGGCGGCUCCUAGCCGCACGAGAUAGAGCAAUAACAGGUCUGUGAUGCCCUUAGAUGUUCUGGGCCGCACGCGCGCUACACUGAAUAGAUCAGCGUGUUCUCCCUUUCUGAGAAGAACGGGUAAACCGCUGAACCCUAUUCGUGGUAGGGAUCGGGGCUUGCAAUUAUUCCCCGUGAACCAGGAAUUCCCAGUAGGCGCGAGUCAUAAGCUCGCGUCGAUUACGUCCCUGCCCCUUGUACACACCCCCCGUCGCUAAUACCGAUUGAAUGGGUA
rnacentral:rRNA from 1 species